rnacentral:rRNA from 1 species
ACGUAGGGAGCAAGCGUUAUCCGGAUUUAUUGGGCGUAAAGCGCGCGUAGGCGGCUUGUUAAGCAAGAUCUUAAACCUGGGGGCUCAACCUUCAGUUGGAUUUUGAACUGGCAGGCUCGAGUUUGGUAGAGGAAAGUGGAAUUCCCAGUGUAGCGGUGAAAUGCGCAGAUAUUGGGAAGAACACCGAUGGCGAAGGCAGCUUUCUGGGCCAUAACUGACGCUGAGGUGCGAAAGCUAGGGGAGCAAACAG